GACAGAGGAUGCAAGCGUUAUCCGGAAUGAUUGGGCGUAAAGCGUUUGUAGGUGGCUUUUCAAGUCCGCCGUCAAAUCCCAGGGCUCAACCCUGGACAGGCGGUGGAAACUACCAAGCUGGAGUACGGUAGGGGCAGAGGGAAUUUCCGGUGGAGCGGUGAAAUGCAUUGAGAUCGGAAAGAACACCAACGGCGAAAGCAGCUCUAGCUGGGCCGACACUGACACUGAGAGACGAAAGCUAGGGGAGCAAAUGGG
rnacentral:rRNA from 1 species